GACGAACGCUGGCGGCGUGCUUAACACAUGCAAGUCGAACGAUGAAGCCGGAGCUUGCUCUGGUGAAUUAGUGGCGAACGGGUGAGUAACACGUGAGUAACCUGCCCCGAACUCUGGGAUAACUGCUGGAAACGGUAGCUAAUACUGGAUACGACCUACGAAGGCAUCUUCUGUAGGUGGAAAGAAUUUCGGUUCGGGAUGGACUCGCGGCCUAUCAGCUUGUUGGUGAGGUAAUGGCUCACCAAGGCGACGCAGGGAAGCCGGCCUGGGAGGGUGACCGGCGACACUGGGACUGAGACACGGCCCAGACUCCUACGGGAGGCAGCAGUGGGGAAUAUUGCACAAUGGGCGCAAGCCUGAUGCAGCAACGCCGCGUGAGGGAUGACGGCCUUCGGGUUGUACACCUCUUUUAGUAGGGAAGAAGCGAAAGUGACGGUACCUGCAGAAAAAGCACCGGCUAACUACGUGCCAGCCGCCGCCGUAA
rnacentral:rRNA from 1 species